rnacentral:rRNA from 1 species
CAGUGGGGAAUCUUGGGCAAUGGGCGAAAGCCUGACGCAGCGACGCCGCGUGAGCGAAGAAGGCCUUCGGGUCGUAAAGCUCUGUCUUUGGGGAAGAAGAAAGUGACGGUACCCAAGGAGGAAGCCCCGGCUAACUACGUGCCAGCAGCCGCGGUAAUACGUAGGGGGCGAGCGUUGUCCGGAAUUACUGGGCGUAAAGGGUGCGUAGGCGGCUGAUUAAGUCAGAUGUGAAAUACCAGGGCUCAACCCUGGGGGUGCAUUUGAAACUGGCCAGCUUGAGUGCAGGAGAGGGAAGUGGAAUUCCUAGUGUAGCGGUGAAAUGCGUAGAGAUUGGGAGGAACACCGGUGGCGAAGGCGGCUUUCUGGACGACAACUGACGCUGAGGCGCGAAAGCGUGGGGAGCAAACA